GAAGUUAGGAUUCUCGAAAACGACACCUAAGUUUUCUGGAAAGGAAUGCCACAGAGGGUGAUAGCCCCGUACGGUGUUGACUCGAUACAGAGUCCUAACAUGGAGUCGAGUUGUUUGGGAAUGCAGCUCAAAUGGGUGGUAUGCUCCAUCUAAGGCUAAAUAUUUGCGAGAGACCGAUAGCGAACAAGUACUGUGAAGGAAAGAUGAAAAGAACUUUGAAAAGAGAGUGAAAUAGUACGUGAAAUUGUUGAAAUGGAAGGGUAGGCCGCUAACCAUGUAGGACCGUGUUUGGGGGGAAGAUAAAUGCUGUAGAAUGUGGCUCCUC
rnacentral:rRNA from 1 species